UACGUAGGCAGCAAGCGUUGUUCGGAAUUACUGGGCGUAAAGAGUGUGUAGGCGGUGCUCCAAGUCUGGUGUGAAAUCUCCCGGCUCAACUGGGAGGGUGCGCCGAAUACUGAGAAGCUAGAGUGUGGGAGAGGAAAGUGGAAUUCCUGGUGUAGCGGUGAAAUGCGUAGAUAUCAGGAGGAACACCGGUGGUGUAAACGGCUUUCUGGACCAUAACUGACGCUGAGGCACGAAAGCGUGGGUAGCAAACAGG
rnacentral:rRNA from 1 species